CAGUCACUCUUGGGGUGCUGCUGUCAGUCACUCUUGGGGUGCUGCUUCACUCUUGGGGUGCUGCUGUCACUCCUGCAGGAGACAGGGAGCUCCAGAACAGCCUUAGGAGCAGGGGCACUGACCAGCAGGGAGUAGUGGUCAGAAAACCCACACCAAAGUAAACAUUCUGCCCUUGUCUCCACUAACCAGCUGAAGUGAAACUUGCUUUUAAAAGAGCAUUGCCCAGGCAAGCAGCUGCUGCCUGGGAAAAGAAAUGGUUUAGUCCUGUAGUUGGAUCAGAGAUCUGCAGAGACAUAGCUGGGGGAGAUCAAGGCCUUCUGCUUCCAAGGUAAUUGGUCUCUUUCUUUCAGACAGCCUAAUGUAGCCACCUAAAUACAUGUUGAAAAGUCUCUUCUUAACUGCUACUGUCCUUCUUGAAAGAGUUUUUUGGUGUGUCCCUGGUUCACCACACUGACCUACCUUAAGAUACCACUCACCUGGGCACUGCUCUUCUAUUAUCUAGCAAUCUUUGGAGAAGUUCUCCUGUGCUUGCCUGCUGUGUUUCUCUUGACCUUCCCCAGCAUUUGCAGCAUGAAUUAGAAACAAAUAGAAUAACUCUUGCCAUCUCCUAUUGGAUUCUGAAAAGCAGAGGGUGAUCCAAGCAGGGCUUGCUAGGGUGGGAUGUUUUUAGGGGUUGGGAGGGGAGUAGUUCUUGGGGGUUUUUCUGCUGCUCAAUACUUGAGUAGCAACAAAGACAUAGGAGAUGCAGUUCUUGACUGAGUCUCAAACAGAGGGUUCUUUCAUAUGGAAACAUAUUUUUAUAUUACAUUUGUACAGAAUUUUCCCUAUUUUGAUCUCCCAGCAUUUUUAGAUUUGCACGUUGCUCAGUUUUGCUUUCUUUUGCAAGGUGUUAUAAAAUAUAUAUUUUGUGUUUGUUAAUGUAUCAUAAAUGUAAAGCUAAAUUUUGGUUGUCUAAUAAAUGUGCACUGUGGUGGUAUCUGGUUUAUUGUUUUGUUAACUUGAAUUGAUUGGUUCUUAAUAUGAAAAGGAAAAACUUGUCAUUGUUGGGGCUGUCUUGUUAGCAUAAAUAAAUGUGUGGAGUGCAUUUAUUUUAAAAGUAACCAAAAAUGGCUUAAGCAGGUAAUGACUAAGAAUACUUGAUAACAAAAGUUAAGGUCCAGACUAGUUCACAGGAUUCUUUUAAGAUCAUCAUCUGAGGAUUCUUGAAAUUUUUUUUAUCUUGUUUCCCAUUACUUUUAGUUAUGGAUACUCAUACUAAAGUGAGUUUAAGACACACAGUAAUUGCAGUCUUAUAGUCUGUAUGAGAUCUGAGGGUUAGUGUUUGGCUGUAUUUAAGGACUAACUGAGGCAAAAGUACUUACAAUGAACAUGAAGAUAAUUUUUUUAAAGAUUGAGAAUAGAUUCAAGUGUGAAAUUUAUAGACUAUUAUGUCUAGGAGCUUUGUUUUGCCCAGGGACAGCACUAACUAUACAUUGUCACAACUUCAGGAAACAUUCUGGAAGCAUUACAAACUUUAGAAGAUCAUUUUAGGCAUCUCCACUUGUAAAUAGCUGUGUUGAUAUUUUUGUUGCAAAUUUUUUCCUUCAUUUCUAGCUGCUUUGUAAGUUUGAUUGUUUUCAGUGCAAAGAGGUAGAAAUGUAUUUUUCUAGAAGAAUGAAUGUACCUGGGAUUUAAGCACUACAAAAAGCAUUUUAUGAACAUGGACCGUCCUCCUAUGAAAUAUAUUUCAGUAAAGUUGUCUGAAAUGUAGUUCAUUUGAGGAAAAAGAAGUCCUGAACCUGCACUUACAUUUACAUGGAAAAAAGCCCAAACAUGGUGUGAAUUUAAUUCUGAAAUGUCUUUCUACAGGCAAUAAGUAUUAAUUAUUUAAUGUAGGUUAUGUUAGACACUUGGAGUAAAUGUGAUAUCUUAUGUUAAUUUAAAGAACAAUGUAACUAAGCAUCUGGGAAGGGAGUGGAAUUAGAAAAUAUUGGUGUAUGUUUCUGAAAUCCAGACUUCUGAGUCUGUAUUUGCUGGCAUUGAGAAUUUGUCAUGGCUAUUGAAAACCUGAACAAGAACAAGGAAGAGACCUUUCUUUGUAAAUGGAACUUGGCAAUAAAAAUGGUUUUACUAAGAGAA